GUGAAAAUACUCCCAGGCUCUGUAGGAAGCUUUUCAACUCUUAUUUCCUAGUAUUCUCCAGUUCUUUACCUGCUCACACCUAACUUUGUAAAAAUGGGAGGUUCAUAAGAUAGACCUCUUAACUUUGAGGUUAUUUUUUGUUUUGUUUUGCUUUGCUUUGCUACACUAGAGAAAGUUUGAGGGAGAGUGUCAGCUCUUUGGUUUCCUGCUACCUCUCUGUGCCUCUCCUCCCUUGGUUUUUGUGGUUAAUGUCAAGCCUUCCAGAAUUUUCUGUGUCACUGUGGUAGUCACCUUCGAGUUGCUGUGAAAAGGGUUCCUGGAGAUAAUUACGAAGAUGACAGAUUAAUUUUAUCCUGCGUCUUUGGAGGUUCCAGUCUAAGAUUGGCCAUGUCUACCUGCUCCGGCCCUCUAGGCCUACUGGAGGGUCCUGUGGUGGAGCACACUGCUUAGGUCAUGGCCCAUGAUGCUUGGUUUUACAAGCUCCAGUUCAUGCGUGGUUGCUCUGUGGUUUUGGGCUGUGCAGGGAUGUAUGGUGGAGCAGACUCACCUAAAGUCAGAUGAAAAAGAGAAAGACAGCUGGGAAAGAACUAGGGUCCUAUAGUCCCCUGGAGCACAGCAGGCCUCCUGAGAGUGACCCAAGGCUUAGCAGUGGCCUUCAUCUCCUGAAGGCUCUGCAGCCAGCAGGCGUGUCCCCCUAGGAAGCACACUUUAACCCAGGGACCUGAAGUGGUAGCAGCCGCCGAGUGAUGCUGUCCUCUCAGGCUUUACCUCAGGUCUCAGGACUCUUUGUCUUUUAUUGAAGUCUGCUUAGGUGUGGCAGUCAUUUUAGACUGUUUUUAGACAGUCUUCUUUCAAAGUGAGAAAGUGAGACUAUACAUACAACACAGUACACACACACACACACACACACACACACACAAAACUAUUAAUUUAAAAAAAAAGCUUCGUAAGAAAAGACUUAAUCCUUAAAACACGCCAUGCUCACUGAUGUUCUUAAUAACGCUUCCUCAGUUCCAUUAGAAAAUGCUUUGUGUGACCGACCGCAUUGAUUUUUUGACCUGUGAGUGAAUCACAACUGAAUCACCAUUUGCAAACCCUGUUUCUUAAGCCAGUGUAGUAGUUUUACAGAUACCUUAGGUUAGGGGAGCUUCCUGUGCUCUUAUCCAGAGACCAUAAAUAUCUGAGGCAAACAAAUAAUUGCAGCGUAAAAAAAAAAAAGAGUGGGAAGAUUCUUUGCCCUGCAUUAGGAAGCCAGACUUCUUGGGUUGUACUCUGCUCUAGGUCACUGUUAUUCUAUGUUGUUACCUUUUUUUUCGAUGUGUGACAAAGCUUUACAAAUGGAAUUACUAGUAUAUUUAAAAGAUCAUACAAUAAACGGCACACACUUCCCGUAUACUUUCCCUUCCAUCACAUUGAUUCUAGUGAAGCUUCCAGAGAUCCUGCUUAUCACGCCAUAGACAUUUUAACUCACCCAAAUGACUUAAUGGCAUUAAUUGACUUGUAGAUGUUGGGGAGAAAGCCAAGAUAUCAGGACAGACCUAAAAAUGCUUAGUGUGGGCUAGGCAUGCUGGUUGCACACCUCUAGUCCCAGUAAUCACCAGGCUGAGACACGUGAUCAUGAGUUUGAUUGAGACCAGCCUGGAAUCCAUAGCUCCUGCCACAGAAAACCAGACAAAGGGAAAAACAAGACUAAGCUACUGAGAGGUGCUAGUGUCUCAGCCGUCCUCGAAGGAAGCAAAAUGUGUUUAAAUAUUAUUUAAAAGACAAAGAUUCAUUUACAGUUUUUGCUAUUAACUUUAGCAGCUAGGACUUUGGAAUAGCCUAUACAGCAUAAUUUCUAUUUCUGAAGAUACAAAAACAAGUGUUCCCUUUAGAUUAGAAGAUAAUGUAAUGAUCACAUUUGCAGUUGGUGUUUUAUGCACUUUCAUUUUUGAAUAUUAAUUUGUAUCCAUUAGGAUUCAUAAAAUUUGUGGUGCGUGGGGCAAAUCUGGCCUGCCACCUGUUUUUGUGUAGCCUGAAAACCAAGAAUGGUUCCUUCUUUUUUCUUUUUUUUUUUUUUUUAAGUGUUUAGAAAAAUUAUUUCAGAAACCUCUUUUCUGCUAUGUGAAACUCAUAUGAAAUUCAGUUUUGAGCCAUGAGUAAGCUGUCUUGGAGCGUGUCCUGCUCAGCUCACUGGUUUGCAGCGUCGUCCCUUCAGGUUGCUUAACAAAAUACUGAGGGACUGUUAGAUAGGAGAAAUGUGCCUCAGCUUUAGAGGUCAGGAAGGGCUUCCUUGGAAGUCUCAGGGUCAGUGUGCCUGCAGGCUUGGAGCCUGGGGAGGGGCAUUUUAGCAGAUAGUACUUUGUGAGAACUCUCACAUGGCUGCAGAUGUGCUGAGGGCUUUCUCUUGUGCCUUCUUGAGAAAGGGCACUAAUUCCACUCGUGUAAUGUUUGUACUCUGGAAGCCCUCAGUCUCAUGCCAUCACAUUGGGGGGUACCUAGCAUUCAGACCAAGGCAGUUUACAAAGUCUCCGUGACUGCUUUUAUGUCAGUGAGUUAAGUAGUUGCCAGAGAUUUCAUUCCCUGCAAAACCUUAAAUACUUACUUCUGGGUCCUAUACAGAAAAUUUGCUACCGAUGGCCUACAUGGUUUGUAUUUUAUCAUGUCAACAAAAUUAUGUAUAAAAGUUUCAAUGUAAAAUGCUAUGCUCACAAAGCUAGAUAAUAAAAAUGAAUUGGAAGUUAAAAACAUGAAUUUUUUCCUCUCCUACGGUUUGUAGUCCAGCUUCUUGGGGGAAUAAUAGUGAUAAAUUUUGAAAAAAUGGUAUAGUUUCUGAAAUGAGUGAGCACUGUAAAGGUUGUUCAGAUUUGACAGCUUUUCUUCUAUUUCUGUGUGCCCACCAUCACUUCUCCCUCCAUUGUGUGCUUCUUAUUUUUCAUCCAUCCAGUGAAUACUUGCCUUCACAGUAAACAGUGAUCAUAUUCUCUUCUCCCACCCACUUAGUGGUUUUCAGUACUUAAGUUUGUCUUAAUGGGUUCAUCCCUAAAAGGUUGGAGUUGGUUUUCUCUGCUGAUUUGCCAAAGAGUACAUGCAAAUAGCAAAGGGGGUGGAUGGCCAACAGGAGGGCUCUGUCACAUCUCCACAUUUGUCCAUAAGCUCAGUUGUUGUGUUUCAGAUGAGGACAUCUACUUGAUAUCCUACAGUACCCCAACCCUCAAACCUGCCUUGUGCUCGAUGCCACUUCUAGUCAGUUGUGGCCCUUUGUGAAUCAAGGGAGAAGCAGCUUUUUAUUCUAUGAUUAUUUGAGCAAUCAAGUGUAUCAGUCCCUGCUCACCAUCUAGCCCUUCCUCGUGUGUAGCUGGUCUUGAAGAAGAAAAAAUAGGAGUGCCACACUAGUGAGUUCCAGUGAGACCAAGGCUAUCUCUAGGUCUGAGAUUUUUUUUCAUACCACUAUCCAUCUAUAUCUUUAGUAUAGAUAUAAAGAAGCCUAUGUGAGAAGCCAUGUAAAUAGAGAACUUUGAAAGGUAAAGAUUAGGCGGCUAGUGCUUGCAUGUUAAAAGUUUUCUUUUAAUUACUUAAGAGGACGCAGAAUCCUCUCUGAGAACUGGUAUGUUCUUUGUAGAAGUCAGAAAGUCCAGCUUUGUGCUUUUCAAGUUUAUAGUGCAUUUGAAAGACCAGUAAAGGCAGAAGAGAAGGGGACCCAGUGCCUGAUCAGGGCUUGAUUAAGUGACAGCCUGAGAGUGGAGAACAUUAAACAGUGAGGG
rnacentral:lncRNA from 1 species